GGCGCGGGAGUUCGUCGGUAGAACAGUCUGCCAUGAGUUUCGGAGCAAUCCGAUGGGAGCUUAAUGGUCAGAUAAUGUGCAGGUUCAAGUCCUGCCCGCGUCCCCA
rnacentral:tRNA from 1 species